GGUUAAGCGACUAAGCGUACACGGUGGAUGCCCUGGCAGUCAGAGGCGAUGAAGGACGUGCUAAUCUGCGAUAAGCGUCGGUAAGGUGAUAUGAACCGUUAUAACCGGCGAUUUCCGAAUGGGGAAACCCAGUGUGUUUCGACACACUAUCAUUAACUGAAUCCAUAGGUUAAUGAGGCGAACCGGGGGAACUGAAACAUCUAAGUACCCCGAGGAAAAGAAAUCAACCGAGAUUCCCCCAGUAGCGGCGAGCGAACGGGGAGCAGCCCAGAGCCUGAAUCAGUGUGUGUGUUAGUGGAAGCGUCUGGAAAGGCGCGCGAUACAGGGUGACAGCCCCGUACACAAAAAUGCACAUGCUGUGAGCUCGAUGAGUAGGGCGGGACACGUGGUAUCCUGUCUGAAUAUGGGGGGACCAUCCUCCAAGGCUAAAUACUCCUGACUGACCGAUAGUGAACCAGUACCGUGAGGGAAAGGCGAAAAGAACCCCGGCGAGGGGAGUGAAAAAGAACCUGAAACCGUGUACGUACAAGCAGUGGGAGCACGCUUAGGCGUGUGACUGCGUACCUUUUGUAUAAUGGGUCAGCGACUUAUAUUCUGUAGCAAGGUUAACCGAAUAGGGGAGCCGAAGGGAAACCGAGUCUUAACUGGGCGUUAAGUUGCAGGGUAUAGACCCGAAACCCGGUGAUCUAGCCAUGGGCAGGUUGAAGGUUGGGUAACACUAACUGGAGGACCGAACCGACUAAUGUUGAAAAAUUAGCGGAUGACUUGUGGCUGGGGGUGAAAGGCCAAUCAAACCGGGAGAUAGCUGGUUCUCCCCGAAAGCUAUUUAGGUAGCGCCUCGUGAAUUCAUCUCCGGGGGUAGAGCACUGUUUCGGCAAGGGGGUCAUCCCGACUUACCAACCCGAUGCAAACUGCGAAUACCGGAGAAUGUUAUCACGGGAGACACACGGCGGGUGCUAACGUCCGUCGUGAAGAGGGAAACAACCCAGACCGCCAGCUAAGGUCCCAAAGUCAUGGUUAAGUGGGAAACGAUGUGGGAAGGCCCAGACAGCCAGGAUGUUGGCUUAGAAGCAGCCAUCAUUUAAAGAAAGCGUAAUAGCUCACUGGUCGAGUCGGCCUGCGCGGAAGAUGUAACGGGGCUAAACCAUGCACCGAAGCUGCGGCAGCGACACUAUGUGUUGUUGGGUAGGGGAGCGUUCUGUAAGCCUGUGAAGGUGUGCUGUGAGGCAUGCUGGAGGUAUCAGAAGUGCGAAUGCUGACAUAAGUAACGAUAAAGCGGGUGAAAAGCCCGCUCGCCGGAAGACCAAGGGUUCCUGUCCAACGUUAAUCGGGGCAGGGUGAGUCGACCCCUAAGGCGAGGCCGAAAGGCGUAGUCGAUGGGAAACAGGUUAAUAUUCCUGUACUUGGUGUUACUGCGAAGGGGGGACGGAGAAGGCUAUGUUGGCCGGGCGACGGUUGUCCCGGUUUAAGCGUGUAGGCUGGUUUUCCAGGCAAAUCCGGAAAAUCAAGGCUGAGGCGUGAUGACGAGGCACUACGGUGCUGAAGCAACAAAUGCCCUGCUUCCAGGAAAAGCCUCUAAGCAUCAGGUAACAUCAAAUCGUACCCCAAACCGACACAGGUGGUCAGGUAGAGAAUACCAAGGCGCUUGAGAGAACUCGGGUGAAGGAACUAGGCAAAAUGGUGCCGUAACUUCGGGAGAAGGCACGCUGAUAUGUAGGUGAAGUCCCUCGCGGAUGGAGCUGAAAUCAGUCGAAGAUACCAGCUGGCUGCAACUGUUUAUUAAAAACACAGCACUGUGCAAACACGAAAGUGGACGUAUACGGUGUGACGCCUGCCCGGUGCCGGAAGGUUAAUUGAUGGGGUUAGCCGCAAGGCGAAGCUCUUGAUCGAAGCCCCGGUAAACGGCGGCCGUAACUAUAACGGUCCUAAGGUAGCGAAAUUCCUUGUCGGGUAAGUUCCGACCUGCACGAAUGGCGUAAUGAUGGCCAGGCUGUCUCCACCCGAGACUCAGUGAAAUUGAACUCGCUGUGAAGAUGCAGUGUACCCGCGGCAAGACGGAAAGACCCCGUGAACCUUUACUAUAGCUUGACACUGAACAUUGAGCCUUGAUGUGUAGGAUAGGUGGGAGGCUUUGAAGUGUGGACGCCAGUCUGCAUGGAGCCGACCUUGAAAUACCACCCUUUAAUGUUUGAUGUUCUAACGUUGACCCGUAAUCCGGGUUGCGGACAGUGUCUGGUGGGUAGUUUGACUGGGGCGGUCUCCUCCUAAAGAGUAACGGAGGAGCACGAAGGUUGGCUAAUCCUGGUCGGACAUCAGGAGGUUAGUGCAAUGGCAUAAGCCAGCUUGACUGCGAGCGUGACGGCGCGAGCAGGUGCGAAAGCAGGUCAUAGUGAUCCGGUGGUUCUGAAUGGAAGGGCCAUCGCUCAACGGAUAAAAGGUACUCCGGGGAUAACAGGCUGAUACCGCCCAAGAGUUCAUAUCGACGGCGGUGUUUGGCACCUCGAUGUCGGCUCAUCACAUCCUGGGGCUGAAGUAGGUCCCAAGGGUAUGGCUGUUCGCCAUUUAAAGUGGUACGCGAGCUGGGUUUAGAACGUCGUGAGACAGUUCGGUCCCUAUCUGCCGUGGGCGCUGGAGAACUGAGGGGGGCUGCUCCUAGUACGAGAGGACCGGAGUGGACGCAUCACUGGUGUUCGGGUUGUCAUGCCAAUGGCACUGCCCGGUAGCUAAAUGCGGAAGAGAUAAGUGCUGAAAGCAUCUAAGCACGAAACUUGCC
rnacentral:rRNA from 1 species